rnacentral:lncRNA from 1 species
AACCACAUUUUGGAAGACUUUAUUUGCUGAAAAUAUUCUGCUCAGCUUGAAUUCCAUGAACUUUGAGAAUCUUUUUCUCUGGCCCAGUCUAAACCAGAGAGAAAGAUUGGCUUCACAGAAGUGGAUUCACACCAGUCUGUUAGCUCUUUGUGCCACUCCAUAUGGCCCCACUCCUCACUAUUUGCAAAAAGUUGCCACAAACUACUAGAUGUGUUCAUCCAUAUCUUCUGAAGUGCGGUGGAGUAGAGAAGCCCUUGCACAGUGCACCUGACUGCUUCAAGGGGAAAAAAGGACCCAGACUAAGUUUAUUUGACAAAGGGGUGUCAGCUCUGCUCUUAGCUUCCUCCACCCCUGUUCGUGGCAAGCUCUUGUUCUUCUCUGUCUGCCGUAAAAGCCAUCGUGAAAAAGAGUGACUGUGGUGCCUCAAAUGCUUUCACCUCUCACAUGUGCAUCUGGGAUCCAUCUCCACAGGGCUUGUCCUUAGACGCUGAGGCACGCUGAAGAUGCAGGAGUAACCAGGAGGACAAUCUGGUAAGUGCCUUUAGACUCAAGCUGAUCCCUCAGGCUUACCUCGUUCUCUCUUCACCGUACUGUGAGGAUCAUUGCGUGUCCCUGAAUGGGGCAAACUUCACUCAUCUGCAAGGGAGCUCUGGUGAAACUACUGGCUCUCCAGCAAUGAUCACCUAAGUAUUAGUGAGGGGUUUCACUGGGACUGCACGGACAAAAGGGAGCACGUGUUUGCUUGUGCCCUGACAGAGCUCAGAGGAAGGCUGGUCUUAGAGCUGAAACAUAGACCUGGGAGAGUCAGACCAAGCAGCGCCUCUGAAUACAGCAUGUAGUCUUCAAUGAAUAACCUAUGUCUUGCCUCAGCUUAAGUUUCUCCAGCUGGGUAUAAUUUUUCUCCACCUUUUGAGUGGCUUACUAAAAAUUUGUGGAAUCGUUUGUUGCUCAGAUAGGUGCUUUAUAAACACAGAGUGUUACUGAAGGCCUUUGGGCAGCAUGCGCAGUGCUCCAUCUCGCAGAAAACUCGCACAGAAACCAGGAGAGUGGAAUUUUGGAGCAUCCACGUGGGACACUGGAGAGACUGAGGAGCAAAGGCAUAGUCUAGUAAUUCUUCUAAUUAUCGGCUUUGGUAGCUGUGCCUGGUCAAAAUGUCAGAUCACAGGGGUAUGCCUACCUGUGUUAUCGGAUCUUAAAGCCGGCAGUUGGACAGAGCUAAACUUCAACCUGCAGCACUUUAAGCUUGCUGAAGUUGCUGAUGCUGACGUGUUGGGAACUUUGAAAAGAAAGUAUGUCUGUGAAAUACGAUCUUCAUUCAGAAAUCACUGCCUGUGUUUUCUAGGAUUACUUUUUUAUAGAAAGGUCAGUUUGUUAUGUGGAGUCACUUGCUAA